rnacentral:tRNA from 1 species
GUUCCCAUAGCUCAGGUGGAUAGAGCAGUGCUCUCCUAAAGCAUGUGCGGAGGUUCGAGUCCUCUUGGGGACACCA